AUUGAGUUUUUGUGUGUGUGUGUGUGGUGUGUUUUUGAUUUUAUUGUUCGAGAAGAGAGCACGCCAACUGCACAUUUUAUUUUCAGCGGUAAUGUGAAUAUAUUAUUAUAAUAAUUAAGAAAGCCUAUUAUAUUAAGAUAAUAUAGAGCAAAGUGAAAAUAUUAAUGACUGAAAAUCGAUAGCAAAAGAAAGAAA